AACGAACGCUGGCGGCGUGCCUAACACAUGCAAGUCGUACGAGAAAUCCUGGGCAACUGGGAGAGUAAAGUGGCGCACGGGUGAGUAACGCGUGGGUAACCUACCCUUGAAUUGGGGAUAACUCCUCGAAAGGGGAGUUAAUACCGAAUAAUAUUCCAGUUCCCAUGGGAGUUGGAAUCAAAGGUGGCCUCUGCAUGCAAGCUAUCGUUUAAGGAUGGGCCCGCGUGCCAUUAGCUAGUUGGUAGGGUAAUGGCCUACCAAGGCGACGAUGGGUAGCCGGCCUGAGAGGGUGGUCGGCCACACUGGAACUGAGACACGGUCCAGACUCCUACGGGAGGCAG
rnacentral:rRNA from 1 species